ACAGCAGUCGCCACGGGAAUACGGAGGGUGCAAGCGUUAUCCGGAUUUAUUGGGUUUAAAGGGUCCGUAGGCGGACUUAUAAGUCAGUGGUGAAAGCCUGUCGCUUAACGAUAGAACUGCCAUUGAUACUGUAAGUCUUGAGUAUAUUUGAGGUAGCUGGAAUAAGUAGUGUAGCGGUGAAAUGCAUAGAUAUUACUUAGAACACCAAUUGCGAAGGCAGGUUACCAAGAUAUAACUGACGCUGAGGGACGAAAGCGUGGGUAGCGAACAGGAUUAGAUACCCGAGUAGUCCCUGUCUCUUAUAC
rnacentral:rRNA from 1 species